AACGGGAAGAGCCCGCAUCGACCUUUUAUCUAAUAAAUGCAUCCCUUCCAGAAGUCGGGGUUUGUUGCACGUAUUAGCUCUAGAAUUACUACAGUUAUCCGAGUAGUAGAUACCAUCAAACAAACUAUAACUGAUUUAAUGAGCCAUUCGCAGUUUCACAGUCUGAAUUUGUUCAUACUUACACAUGCAUGGCUUAAUCUUUGAGACAAGCAUAUGACUACUGGCACGAUCAACCAGGUAUCAUUCCUCAUUAACGCCGGCAUCGCAUGAGCGUGGCCGACCCAAAAGGGCACGGCCAAGUCCAAGCCGAGCACGACCAUCAUUCGUAAGGAGCAUUCAUUUGGCUAAUAGAAGCCAAUGAAGGCCCCGUGCCCAUUGCGUUUACCGAAUCCGAAAGCCCGAGCAUGCUAAGCCGUGGACUAAGCCAUCGCAAGGCGAAGCUAGGGCAACCUGGGUCACAACUGCAGCUUUUGGUUCACCCCGCACGUCAAACGCGAGGGGCAAAAGGCGACCGAUUGUGCUUGAUAAUGCCUUGGCAUUAGUUAUGCAACACAGAAAACCGACGUCGAACAAGCCUAAUUUGCGCUUGUGACAUGACUGAGAUGGCAUGCGAGCUAGGACGUCGCUGCUCGAGCAGCUAGGACGUCACUUCUCGAGUAGGGAUCCAACCUAGACACACAAGCCGAACACCACUCAUGUGUCGCAUGUAUACUUGCCUCGCCGAUACAAAGCAAACACCAGCCCCAACACGUGACGCACAGCCAUGUGUUGUUGCCGAUGCCAACAUUGCAAAGCCAAGACAAGCCCCUCAAAGCACGAAUAGGGGGUUUGAACAAUGCCAGAUACAACCCACAACAACCGAUGGAAAUCGGCGACUUACUAAGCUUCGCCUUAUGCGCACGGCACCUUGCGGCACUACUUGUACGACGCUUUGCCAUUUUGUUGCCAAAAUCCAUCAGCCGCCACGAGCGAUGUCGUCUCCCGAUGUUGCCCGCAACAACCGAUGGCAAUUGGUAACUUACUAAGCUUCGCCUCGUGCGCACGGCACCUUGCGGCGCUACUUGCACGAUGCUUUGCCAUUUUGUUACCAAAAGCCAUCAGCCGCCAUGAGCGAUGUCACCUCCCGAUGUCGCCCGCAACAACCGAUGGCAAUCAGCAACUUACUAAGCGUUUCCCCGUGCGCACGGCACCUUGAGACGCUACUUGCACGAUGCUUUUCCAUUUUGUUGCCAAAAGCCAUCAGCUGCCACGAGCGAUGUCGCCUCCCGAUGUUUCCCGCGACAACCGAUGGAAAUGAACAUCUACUGAGCUUCCCUCGUGCGCACGAAACCUUGCGGCGCUACUUGCACGAUGCUCCGCUGUUCGUUGUCAAAAGCCAUAAGCCGCCACGGAGACACAACCCACAACAAUCAAUGGCAAUAGGCAACUUACUACGCUUCACCCCAUGCGCACGGCACCUUGCGGCGCUACUUGCACAACGAUCCGCUAUUCCAUUGCCUAAAGCUGUCAAAACGCCAUGAGCGAUGUUGCUCGCAACAACCGAUGGCAAUCGACAUCUACUGAGCUUCGCUCCAUGCGCACGGCACUUUGCGGCACUACUUGCACGAGGCUCCGCCGUUCUUUGUCGAAAGCCAUCAGCCGCCACGAGAGAUUCCAGAUACAACCUACAACAACCGAUGGCAAUCAACAACUUACUAAGCUUCGCCCCAUGCGCACGGCACCUUGCGGCGCUACUUGCAGGACGCUUUGCCGUUCUGUUGUCAAAAGCCAUCAGCCGCCACGAGCGAUGUCGCCUUUCCCAGGCGACGUAUUUUUUUGAAACGAGGUCCUCGGUAACGCGACAUAAAGACUCCUAAUUCUUAUUUCUUAUUUAGUAUUUCGAAUUAAUUCUUAUUUCUAUUUAUUUUAUUUUUUAUUGNNNNNNNNNNNNNNNNNNNNNNNNNNNNNNNCUUGUAAAUAUCUCUUUUUUCUCUAUAACAGGAUUAUUAGUUACUCGUUGGAUUUCUUCUGGACAUUUCUCACUAAGCGAUUUAUAUGAAUCAUUAAUUUUCCUUUCAUGGAGUUUCUCCUGCACGGCACCUUGCGAUGCUACUUGCACGACGCUUUGCCGUUCUGUUAUCAAAAGCCAUCAGCCGCCACGAGCGAUGUCGCCUACCAAUUUUUCCCGAAACAUCCAAUGGCGAUCAACAAGUACUAAGCUUCGCCCCAUGCGCACGGCACCUUGCGGCGCUACUUGCAUGACGCUCCACCGUUCAUUGCCAAAAGCNNNNNNNNNNNNNNNNNNNNNNNNNNNNNNNNNNNNNNNNNNNNNNNNNNNNNNNNNNNNNNNNNNNNNNNNNNNNNNNNNNNNNNNNNNNNNNNUCAUUGCCAAAAGCCAAUGUUUGCCACGAGCGGUGCCACCACCAGGCUUACUACGAGCCCACACGAGUACUUGCCGUCAUGGUUUGGGAACAUCGAGGACGUAGCACGGACAAUCCGUGCAUGCCCCCAAUGCCCACGCCCCAUGCCACCGUCCCCCAUGCAUGCCCGCCGCUUCCUGACAGCAAGCACCUGAGGUGCCUUUCAACACCUCUACCCCCUUUAUAUAUGCUUAAAAAAAAUCCAAGUUUCAGGAGUAGACAUGUUUUGUCCAGAGAAUCAUAAUAGACAUAUACAACACCAAAUAGCAUAAACCAAAAGUACAACUUGGCUAAUAUAUUCAGAAAUGACUUUUAAACAUUGUAAAUGAUAUCUUUUACAAAAAAUAAUAUUUUUUAGAAAUAUUUUUAUUUAAAAACGAAAAAUACUUCAUAAAAUACUAAAAAAUAUGAAAAUUAUUAUAAAAAUAGAAAAAAUGAUGGAGAAAAAUUCCAAUGCAACUUGUAAAAGUAUAAUAUAUAAAAGAGUAAAUAUUUUUAUUAAAAAGUGACUUAAAAAUAAAUUAAAAUGCAAAAAAUGCAUAAAUAUUACUACAACAUAUAUUAAAAAUAGGAAAAAUACAUAAUAAUAAAAGCGUAUAGAUGACCAACCGCCAAUAAGCACGAUGCACCUCCAUUGUCGCAACCACAACAAGUGAUUCCGAUUUGAAGAAACCGCCGCAAACCACAAAGUGUAGACCAACCGUCGCCGGUGGAUACCGCUCGAGCUAACGCGACUUUACACCACCGCCACCAACGACCACCAACAUCAUUGCGCUUGACGUGUUGCCAACCCACAACAAGUGAUUAGGAUUUGAAGAAACUGCCGACAACCACAAAGCGUCGACCGGCCGUCGCCCGACGGUACCGCUCGAACCACCCCGACUUUCCACCACCUCCGCCAACGACCACCAACAUCAUUGCGCUUGACAUGUUUCUAAGUAUUGGUUAGAAUUAGACGUGGUGCGACGGACCGUCGCGCGACGCUACCGCUCGAACCACCCCGACUUUCCACCACCUCCGCCAACGACCACCAACAUCAUUGCGCUUGACAUGUUUCUAAGCAUUGGUUAGCAAUAGACGUGGUGCGACGUGGUGUCAUGUCGUGCGAUGGCCAUGUCCUGCGACGUCCUGACAUGUCCUGAGACGUCCUGACACGUCCAGAAACGUACCAUGACCAUAUCCUGCCAUGUCUUGCGACGUACUGACACGUACCAUGGCCCUGUCCUGACACGUACCAUGGCCAUGUCCUGACGCGUCCUGAUACGUGCCAUGGCCAUGUCCUGCCGCGUCCUAACACGUGCCAAGGCCAUGUCCUGACGCGUCCUGACACAUUCCAUGGCCAUGUCCUGACACGUACCAUGGCCAUGUCCUGACACGUACCAUGGCCAUGUCCUGANNNNNNNNNNNNNNNNNNNNNNNNNNNNNNNNNNNNNNNNNNNNNNNNNNNNNNNNNNNNNUCAUGGCCACGCCCUGCCACGUCCUGACGCGUCCUGACACGUACCAUGGCCACAUCGUGCCUUGUCCUGCAACGUCCUAACUUGUGUCAUUACCACGCCUUGCCACGUCCGGCGACAUCUUGACUCGUGCCAUGGCCACACCCUCCCACGUUCUGACGCGUGCCAUGGCCAUGUCCUGACGCGUCUUGACACGUACCAUGGCUAUAUCCUGCCAUGUCCUGCGACGUCCUGCCAUGUCCCGACGCGACCUAACACGUGCCAUGGCCAUGUCCUGACACGUACCAUGGCCAUAUCCUGCCAUGUCCUGUGACGUCCUGCCAUGUCCCGAUGCGUCCUGGCACGUCCUGACUCGUGCCAUGGCCACGCCCUGCCAUGUCCUGCGACGUCUCUACUCGUGCCAUGGCCACACCCUACCAUGUCCGGACGCGUCCAGACACGUGCCAUUGCCAUGUCCUGAUGCGUCCUGAGACGUGCCAUGGCCAUGUCCUGACGCGUCCUGACUCAUUCCAUGGCAACGCCCUGCCACUCCCUGCCAUGGCCUGCGACGUCCCGACUCGUGCCAUGGCCACGCACUGCCAUAUCGUGACACGUACCAUGGCAAUGUCCUGACGCGUCCUGCGACGUCCUGACUCUUGCCAUGGCCACGCCCUGCCAUACCCUGCGACGUCAUGAGUCAUGCCAUGGCCACGCCCUGCCAUGGCCUACGUCGUCCCGACUCGUGCCAUGGCCACGCACUGCCAUGUCCUGACACUGCCUUGCGCUCGUUGCAUAGGCCUUGGGCUCUCAAGCGAUACCCCAAAAAGCCUCUAGUACUGUAACGUGGUUUUGUAUUUCCCUAGACGUGACUAAGUGUCAAGUCACAUUGUCCACUUAAUGCACAAAUAAUAUACGUUCCAAGGUCUUUGAGGACUUGUUCGAUUUUUCCAUCACUUAGUAUAAUAUAGCAUCAAGGUACGAGUGAACCUUUUAUCGGAAAAGCUAGAAAAUGAUUUGAUUGGAGGGGGAGGGACGAAUCGGAGCGACAAAGGGCUGAAUCUCAGUGGAUCGUGGCAGCAAGGCCACUCUGCCACUUACAAUACCCCGUCGCGUAUUUAAGUCUUCUACAAAGGAUUCUACCGCCGCUUGACGGAAAUUGUACUUUUAG
rnacentral:lncRNA from 1 species